CAAUAGCGUAUAUUAAAGUUGUUGCAGUUAAAAAGCUCGUAGUUGGAUUUCUGGGAGGGUGCCGCCGUCCGGCGUGUCCGUGUGCAGUGGCGCCCUUCCAUCCUUCUGUUAGCGUCUCUUGGCAUUCAUUUGCUGGUGGCGGGCUCAGAUAUUUUACCUUGAGAAAAUUAGAGUGUUUCAGGCAGGCUAGGCCGGAAUACAUUAGCAUGGAAUAAUGGAAUAGGACUACGGUCUCUUUGUUGGUUUGAGGGACUGCAGUAAUGAUUAAUAGGGAUAGUUGGGGGCAUUAGUAUUUAAUUGUCAGAGGUGGAAUUCUCAGAUUUGUUAAAGACUAACUUAUGCGAAANCANNNGCGAAGGAUGUUUUCAUNAA
rnacentral:rRNA from 1 species